rnacentral:rRNA from 1 species
AUUGAACGCUGGCGGCAUGCCUAACACAUGCAAGUCGAGCGGAGCGGCGGACGGGUGAGUAAUGCCUAGGAAUCUGCCCGGUAGUGGGGGAUAACGUCCGGAAACGGGAGCUAAUACCGCAUCCUAUCAGUUGAGCAUCGGUCGGAUUAGCUAGUUGGUGGGGUAAAGGCCUACAAAGGCGACGAUCCGUAACGGGUCUGAGAGGAUGAUCAGUCACACUGGAACUGAGACACGGUCCAGACUCCUACGGGAGGCAGCAGUGGGGAAUAUUGGACAAUGGGCGAAAGCCUGAUCCAGCCAUGCCGCGUGUGUGAAGAAGGUCUUCGGAUUGUAAAGCACUUUAGGUUGAGAGGCGUUACCAACAGAAUAAGCACCGGCUAACUUCGUGCCAGCAGCCGCGGUAAUUC